AGCCCCCUGGGACUAAACC
rnacentral:piRNA from 1 species